rnacentral:rRNA from 1 species
GCCUACGGGAGGCAGCAGUGGGGAAUAUUGGACAAUGGGCGCAAGCCUGAUCCAGCAAUGCCGCGUGAGUGAUGAAGGCCUUAGGGUUGUAAAGCUCUUUCACACGCGACGAUGAUGACGGUAGCGUGAGAAGAAGCCCCGGCUAACUCCGUGCCAGCAGCCGCGGUAAUACGGAGGGGGCAAGCGUUGUUCGGAAUUACUGGGCGUAAAGGGCGCGCAGGCGGCUGCUCAAGUCAGGCGUGAAAGGCCUGGGCUCAACCCGGGAAUUGCGCUUGAGACUGGGCUGGCUUGAGUGCGGGAGAGGAUGGUGGAAUUCCCAGUGUAGAGGUGAAAUUCGUAGAUAUUGGGAAGAACACCGGUGGCGAAGGCGGCCAUCUGGACCGCAACUGACGCUGAGGCGCGAAAGCGUGGGGAGCAAACAGGAUUAGAUACCCCGGUAGG